rnacentral:rRNA from 1 species
UCAGGCCUAACACAUGCAAGUCGAGGGGCAGCAUAAAACAAGCUUGCUUGUUUGGUGGCGAAAGGCGCACGGGUGCGUAACGCGUAUGCAACCUACCUUAUACAGGGGUAUAGCCCGGAGAAAUUCGGAUUAAUCCCCCAUAGUACUGAGCCACCGCAUGGUGAAUCAGUUAAAGUUUCGGCGGUAUAAGAUGGGCAUGCGUCCUAUUAGCUAGAUGGUAAGGUAACGGCUUACCAUGGCUACGAUAGGUAGGGGGCCUGAGAGGGUGGUCCCCCACACUGGUGAUGAGACACGCCCCAGACUCCUACGGGAGGCAGCAGUGAGGAAUAUUGGUCAAUGGGCGCAAGC